CGACUCCGACUGGUGACUUUUUCGGAAACACUAGAAAUGAAUAGAAAACUAACGUAUAGAAAUAAAAUUACAGAAAUGAAAAUGAAUGUUUGUUCCUUAUCAAAUUUAGGGUAUGAAUGGUGACCAAGAAACGACGAGGAACAAAUGCAUUCUCUAACAUUCCUUAAAAAAAUCAUCAUUCAUAAGAAAUAAUUUUUCCUUCACAUUCCCUACCAUUCCUUUUUUUUGUAGAGAAAUAAAGAACAAAUUAAUUCCUUGUUAAAUAUGGGAUGGAACAACCAUUCCUUUUCAUUCCUGCAAUUCUAUUCCUCUACGUUCAUUUCCUAUUCGUUCUUCUUGUUUUCAGAAUGGUCACCAGUCGGAUCCUUAACAAAAAAUGUUUUUGUUCUAUAUUUCUCUACAAAAAAAAGGAAUGAAAAGGAACAAGAAGGAAAAACUAUUCCUUUUGAAUGGUAAUUUUUUUUUUGGAAUGAUAAGGAAUUCAGUGUUCCCUUUCUUUCCUUGGUCACCAUUCAAAGCUUCAUUUUAAUAGGUAAAAAGAUCAUAAUAUUCUAAAUAUAUAUAAAAUAAAAUAAAAAACUAUAAAAUAAAAUAAAAUAUUUUUUAUAUAGUUUUAGAUUAUAUGUUUUCAAAUUCGAACUUUUUUAUAAUUUUUUUUUCGAUUUUUUUUUUAUUUUUUUUUCAAAUUUUCUUUUUGUAAUUCAAAAAUAUUUUUUGAAACUAUUUUUAAAUUUUUUAUUGGAAAAUACUCUAAGAUAUCACUAAAAACGUUUUAGUCACAAAUAUAGACUCUAAGGAUCAAAAUGACCUAAAUGUUUUAAUAAAUAUACAUUUAUAUCUCUAGGGUUAACUAAUCCAUAGAGUCAAUGGGUGAAGAUUUGAGAUUGAGGUUUAAAACUUUAUAAAAUAAAAAAUAAUAUUAAAAAUAUGAAAAUAAAAAUUUUAAAAAUAGUUUCACAAAAUAUUUUUGAAUUACAAACAAAAAUUUGAAAAAAUAAAUAAAUAAAAAAUUUUGAAAAACAAAUUUCAAAAAAAAAAGAUUAUUAAAAAGUUCAAUUUGAAAACAUAUAAUCUAAAACAAUAAAAAAAUAUUUUUUUUAUUUUUUAUUUUUUAUUUUUUUAUAUAGGUAGGGUAUUGGGGUCUUUUUACCUAUUAAAUAAAACAUUUUGGUUAUUUUCCUUCUUGUGGUCUAUUUUUGUGACCAAAACUUGAAAAAUGUCUAUUUAGGAGAAUUACCCAUUUUUAUUUUCAAAAUUUUAAGAUUUAUUUUUUAAUUUAUAAAAUUUUAAACCUCAAUCCCAAAUCCCCACCCGUUAACUCUAGGAGUAUAAAUAUAUAUUUACUUCUUUAAUGAAAUAUUUUGAUCAUUUUGAUUCUUAGAAUCUAUAUUUGUGAUCAAAAUUUUUUUAGUGCUAUCCUUAGGUAUUUUCUAAAUAAUAAUAUGAAUGUAUUACAUAAUCCAUAUGGUAGAUAAGUAGAAUAUAAUAAAUUAGUUAUCUAACCAAAUAAAUCAAAAUGUAUUCAAUCAUUCAAUAAUCCGAGUAACAAUAAAAUAUAGAAAUUAUUUGAAACAAAUUUAAAAAGGAAAUAAUGUUUUCUGAUUUAACAAUAUUUUAAUAUUAAAAAUAGUUAAAAAGAAUAUAGUCUCUAAAUCCAGAUAGUUCCCAAAAAACAUAACGUAGUUAAUUUCUAUUGGAAAAAUCUAAAAUAAUAAUUAUUAAAUGGAAAUAUAUGAAUCUAACUAAAUGUGGUAGAAUCUGACAAAUUAGUUAUAUAAAAAAUAAUUUAAAAUGUAUUUGAUCAUUCAAAUAAAUAACUGUAAAUGUUUAUCUAAUUUAGUAAAAUAAUUAAUUAAUUUAUUAGAAAUGAUUAAAAAGAGUAUCUAUACUAUACUAAAAGUUAAAUAUACUCAAAGGAGAGCUAUGCCACAUAGGAUUAAAAAUUCAACCAAUAGAAAAGAGUCAUCUGUCCCAUCUCCUAAAGCAUCUCUCUCUUCAGCUUUUGUCGCGGUAAGGUUAACGAUUCUGGCCUUUUCCACUUCUUCAUUCAUCUUCAUCGCCUUCCCUUUCAGUUGUAAAUCACCAUGUCAGUUCUGAUUUUGUUGGCCUUUUACCAUCAAACAGAGAAUACUAGGUCGAUUUAGGUUUGGAAGUCUUCCAUCUGAUUGGAAUCUGUACCAUCUUAUUCAGUGUUUCCCAAUUUGUUUAUAUCACAAUGCUGCAACUGUAAUUAACAUCUCAAGCAGAUGUAAAUUUCUCAAUCAGAUGAUGUGGAAUUGUUGUUUUUCCUUCCAAAGCAAAAGUUUUUCGUUUUUAAUUUCUGGAAGUUGCUCGCUAUUCUUUCUUCGGUGUUCGUAACUCUCCUCUCCAUUAUGCUGCCGCCCAGUGCCACCACGAAGUAUCCCAGUUUGUAAGAUCUCAGAGAUUUUAACAAGUUUUGACUUUAUGGUAAGGAUGAUCCUAAUAUGGGUUUUGUUGUUUAUAUCCACAGAUAUUUUAUGUGUUGGUGGAAUCAGGAGUUGAUAUCAAUCUCUGUAACUAACGUGUACAGGUUAUAGCUCUGUACAAACGACUUUGGUGCAGGCUUGCCAACAUGGUCAUUUGGAGGUCGUUUGAUUCUCAUUCGUUUUGGUGCUAAUGUAAGCAUUUGAUAAACUUUUAUUCUCACAAAUUGAGUGAUUGUGUUUGAUUAAUCGGGUUGAUAGAAUCACAUAUCAUGUUAGAUAACAGUAGUCCUCUUUAUAUCAUGUUACAGUGAAGUGACUCAGCUAACCAAAUCGUUUUUUUUGUUGUGGUGUGUGUCUUGAUGAAUCAGUCUCGCUGCUCUAUGUUGAUGCUAUCUGUUAGACGAAUGCCGCUUAAUAAUGUAGGCAAGUUUAAGAGCUAUCAGAUCGCCACUAAGACCCAAAACAAAAUUCAACUUCAUUGCCUGUUUUAUUUUUGUUUUUAAUGUUUCUCAGAUUAAUUAAAGAGGAGCUAUAGUGGAAGAUAAGAUCAAGAAGAACAAGACCAAGAACAGAGCAGUCCAUCUAUAUGUUGAGCUCUGCGAAUACACAGAACAAAUCAGAAAGACAAGACAUGGUCCUUUUCUAGAAGCUAAUCUGCUGUUGCGUGUUAUGGAUGGCUGGUGGUCACAGCUCAGAGGCUUCGUCUUACAUUUUAUCACUUUUUCAGAAUCUCAGGAACUCUAUGUUUUGGAACCACAAUUGGGCAUCACGCUGGUCUAGAAUCGGUGGAGUUCUGGAACUGUUUAGCUAAAGAGACUAAACGAUCUAGAUUUCACAUUUUGCUUAAGAUCAAACAAGGAAACAGAGGUAAUAGUGAUUGUAUUCCUCAUUCAUCAAUUAUAAUCGAGUGUUGUGUAUACUAAAAGUUUUACUUGCUUUCUUUUUGUUCAAUUUUUAUUUUUUUAAUUUUUUUAACGACUUCUACUAUAUUAUUCAUUAUUCUAUUGGUUAUUUGCUACUCAAUGCCAGUAGGCAGUAGCCAUAUCCGUUUGUUAUAAUAUAAUGACUCCUAACACUUCUUUCUAACUGAUUUUGUAUUUUGUAUUUAUUUCAUCACAAAACUUCUAUAAAUGUUUUAUAAAUGAUUCUUAAGUAUUUAGACCAUUUUCAAUGAUACACAAAAAAAAUAAUCUAGAAUUCAUUCUAAAAUAGAGUAAGUCUAUUAUAGAGUUGGAUUUGCUCCAAUGGUUCACUCUAUAAUAGAGUUACUCUAUAAUAUAGUGGAUUAUAAAUUAAUGUUAUUUUUUGUAUCAUUGGAGUUAAUUAGGAGAAUUUAGUUUAGUCUUAUUUUGUCUUAUUUUUUAUCAUAGAUUUGAGUUAAUUAUGAAAAUUGUUAUUUUUACAAAAAAAAUUAGAAAGUGUAUCAAACUUAUGGUAAUAUUAGAAAUCCCCUAAUUUAAUAACAUUUAAAUAUGUAAUAUGAGCGUUUGUAUAUGAACAAUUUAAUAUAUAUCAUACAUUAGAAGGCACAUUGUCCUAUUUUGGUUGUUUUAAGUAUCUUACAAACAUUUGUAUUAUUUUAAUACAAAAAAAAAACUAACUAGAUGCAAAAUCACAACCCAAAUCUUAAUUAUUAUUUUUAACAAAAAUAUUAUUUCGAUUUAUAUUUAAUAAUCUAUUGCGAUUGUACCAUACAAGAUAUUUCUUAACAUGUAUUUUUUUCUUAAUGGGGAGAAUUCACGUAUCAGGAUACAAAAAUAUAUAAGACCAUCAUUAAUUUUAGUCUUCUAACUGGGGUUCUUACCUUUUUCUUAGAUUUUAAUUUAAAAAAAAACUAAGAACCGUCUCAUAAAUAAGAGAUAGAAGAUCCGUCUCUUACCCGAAAAUUGUUAAAAAAACACAAAAAAUGUCAAAUCAUGAGUUAAGAACUCCGGUAAGAGAUCAUGAUUAAUCAUGCCAUAACCAACGCUUUGUAUCUAAUAUCUAUAAUGUCUUUAAUUUUCAUUCUUGGAAAAUCGAUGUUGAAAAAUAGGAACCUCAUGAAAACUAAUAACAUUUAAGAAAAUGAGAUUUAGCAGAGAACGACAUAUAGAAAAUAAUAUUUAGUAGAGAUAUUUAGUCUUCAUAACAUAAGAACCUCAUGAAGUGUUUGAUUGGUAGAAGCUAUAGAUUUAAUUACUUUGCUUUAGAAUAUAAAAUGUAAGUCUUUCUAUUGUAGCUAUAUAAUCUAUUGAUAUAGAUUUAUAUCAAUAACUUUCAAAUAACUUUGCUCAAAAAAACUUUCAAAUAACAAAAUAUAAAAUUUAAGAAAAAAAAUUGAUUUU